UGAUGGCACACAAAACCAAACGGCCCCGCACCUUGGGGCUCACCAUUUCACUCCAGGACCGAGCGUGUGCACCAAGCCAGUGGCACAGACUGGGGAAAACAAGAGUUGCUCUCCUCUGCUGCAAUAAAAAAGGAUGCAGAGGCUGAGUUUGGGCUCAGAUCGACCUGCUCGCACCUGGAGGACACAUACAGGGGUGUCACACGUAACCCUAACCCUAGCCCCCUUUUGGGGAGCAAUUGGUGCACCUGGUGUAGCUUGGGGGUCCUAGCAGCCCCGUGCCUCUGAGCCGAGCCCCUUUUUCAGGUGUCCUGGUGCCACACAGACCAGAGCCACUACAACACAGCCACACGGGGCUGCAGUUCCUGAGCAGGGCCAGUUAAUUAAUUGCACCCAGCUGACAGCAGCCGGGGCUUUUUGUGUGCUGGAGCUUUCAGACACCAAUGCAGUAAUGGUCUCCAGCACGCAGACGGUCUCAGGGGACUUGUCCUUCCUAUCCAAAAAAAAUUAAUUAACGGUGGCAAUAAAUAAAGCAAGCCAGGCAAAUGAGAACAUCGGAGCCACUCUGGGGAGGCUGCUGCCGACGUGCAGCAGGAAUCAGCCUUGGGAUGCUGGGCACCCACAGCCAAAUGCCUGCAAACUUGGGCAGCAGCUUCCUAGCAGCAUGGUGCCUAGUCCACACGUGCUCUUUUGGGUAGGAAAAGCUUUUUUUUUUUUGGAGCCAGGUGGUUCUUGUCCUGGUUAUCCAGCAGCAUGCACAUCCCCCACCCUGAGGUCUAAUCACUGGCCACUCGUUUCUCGAGCGCUUCUUAGGCACUUCUAAUUGGCACUUGACAAAGUGCCUGCCACAUGUUGGUCAAUACCAAUUAGCAUGCUUAUUAAGCGCACGUAUCUGCUUGUGGCAGUUAUCUAAUUACCUUGCAAGUGCACUGGGGGAAAGGCUCUGCAAAGGGUGCCGCGGUGGGGAGGAUGCUUCAGAUGCUUGGUGCGCAAACCCUGCGCUCCGCUGCUCUCCUUGGGAGCUGCUGUGCACGGAGCUGAGCACCCAUCAAGCCUCCCCACUUGGUGGGAACAUCACCUGCCCAGCUCCAAAUCUGUCCACCCUAAAGGGAUGUCCACAGAAGGGCCUUCCACCUUUCUUUAGUUUCCUCAUGCACCUCCACAGCCCUUCUCUGGGUCUUGCUGCUGGCUCCAAGGCCAAGCCUAGCCAGCGGGUGCUGCUGCUAUCAGACAGCACACAGAGCGGCGCAGUGAUACGACGUGCAUGCCUGGGAACCGAAGCAGAGCCCACGUACUGGUUUAAUUUAAUGCUCGUGAAAGCCUCCCAUUCUGACACACCUUGGAACUGGGAUAGCACAGCGUGGCUGGGAGAGAUUUCGCAUCAGAGCUCCGGUGGGCUGCAGCAC
rnacentral:lncRNA from 1 species